GAGUUUGAUCCUGGCUCAGAACGAACGCUGGCGGCGUGCCUAACACAUGCAAGUCGAACGUGAUCCAGAGCUUGCUCUGGUGAAAGUGGCGCACGGGUGAGUAACGCGUGGAUAACCUACCCUGGUAUCCGGGAUAACAUUCCGAAAGGGGUGCUAAUACCGGAUAAGCCCACGGGCUCUUUGGAGCUUGCGGGAAAAGGUGGCCUCUAUUUAUAAGCUACUGUAUCAGGAUGGGUCCGCGUACCAUUAGCUAGUUGGCGGUGUAACGGACCACCAAGGCGACGAUGGUUAGCUGGUCUGAGAGGAUGAUCAGCCACACUGGAACUGAGACACGGUCCAGACUCCUACGGGAGGCAGCAGUGGGGAAUUUUGCGCAAUGGGGGAAACCCUGACGCAGCAACGCCGCGUGGGUGAUGAAGGCCUUUGGGUCGUAAAGCUCUGUCAGAGGGGAAGAAAUGAUAUAGUGCUAAUACCACUUUAUCUUGACGGUACCCUCAAAGGAAGCACCGGCUAACUCCGUGCCAGCAGCCGCGGUAAUAC
rnacentral:rRNA from 1 species